CUGUCUUUUAUAUUCUUUAGAUAAAAUGUGCCAUUGGAUAUAUAGAGACCGUACAGCAGUUUAAAUGAUAUUAAGUUGUAUUUCAUGCGUACAGGAAAUUCAAUUCUCUUUCUACUCUAGUCGGAAAGAAAAAUUGCGUCUAACACGGUGCAGACAAGAUGCGUUCGCAGUAACCAGUAAUAUGUCUUCUUUUUUUUUCUUUUCCAGUCCUUAUGUGAACCAGAUACUUUCCUCCUCUCGUUCUAAUCUGUGUGCAGACUGUCAGCAUCAUUUCUGGAAGACUGAGUUCAGGAAAUACGGCCUCAUUCUCCAAUAUUUCUCAGCAAA